GCCAGCGUAGCUCAAUCGGUAGAGCGGCUCAUUCGUAAUGAGUAGGUUGAGGGUUCGAGUCCCUCCGCUGGCUCCA
rnacentral:tRNA from 2 species